CCUACGGGGAGGCAGCAGUAGGGAAUAUUGCUCAAUGUGGGAAACCCUGAAGCAGCAACGCCGCGUGGAGGAUGAAGGUUUUCGGAUUGUAAACCUCUUUUGUUAGAGAAGAAAAUGUCGGUAUCUUACGAAGAAGCAUCUGCUAACUCCGUGCCAGCAGGCGCGGUAAUACGGAGGGUGCAAGCGAUAAUCGGAAUCACUGGGCGUAAAGGGCGCGUAGGCGGGAUAGCAACUCAGAUGUGAAAUCCUAUGGCAUAACCAUAGAACCGCAUUUGAAACUGUUAUUCUAGAGUAUGGGAGAGGUAGGUGGAAUGCUUGGUGUAGGGGUAAAAUCCGUAGAGAUCAAGAAGAAUACUCAUUGCGAAGGCGACCUGCUAGAACAUAACUGACGCUGAUGCGCGAAAGCGUGGGGAGCAAACAGGAUUAGAUACCCCAGUAGUC
rnacentral:rRNA from 1 species